UAGGGAAUCUUCCGCAAUGGGCGAAAGCCUGACGGAGCAACGCCGCGUGAGUGAUGAAGGUCUUCGGAUCGUAAAACUCUGUUAUUAGGGAAGAACAAAUGUGUAAGUAACUAUGCACGUCUUGACGGUACCUAAUCAGAAAGCCACGGCUAACUACGUGCCAGCAGCCGCGGUAAUACGUAGGUGGCAAGCGUUAUCCGGAAUUAUUGGGCGUAAAGCGCGCGUAGGCGGUUUUUUAAGUCUGAUGUGAAAGCCCACGGCUCAACCGUGGAGGGUCAUUGGAAACUGGAAAACUUGAGUGCAGAAGAGGAAAGUGGAAUUCCAUGUGUAGCGGUGAAAUGCGCAGAGAUAUGGAGGAACACCAGUGGCGAAGGCGACUUUCUGGGCUGUAACUGACGCUGAUGUGCGAAAGCGUGGGGAUCAAACAGG
rnacentral:rRNA from 1 species